GAGAUGGGUUGCCGAGUGGUUAAGGCGAUGUUCUUGAAAUCCAAAGAGGUUUCCCCUCGUAGGUUCAAACGCUACUCAUGGCA
rnacentral:tRNA from 1 species